GUGAUUAAAUCGAGCGUGUCUUCAUUGACCGCUCACCCUUCUCACCAUCCACAUACACCUGUGCACUGUUUAGCCUGAGCCGGUUUUCCGGUCCAGGUUAUCAAUUUCAUACAAACCUCUAAGUCCUUAUGAAUGUAAACGUUUUAAUAACAUAAUA
rnacentral:misc_RNA from 1 species